rnacentral:rRNA from 1 species
UUUGAAAUCUGGCAGUCUUUUUUUUCUUCUUUGGCUGUCCGAGUUGUAAUCUAGAGAAGUGCUUACCUGCGCUGGACCGUGUACAAGUCUCCUGGAAUGGAGCGUCGCAGAGGGUGAGAAUCCCGUCUUUGACACGGACUGCCAGCGUGCUGUGGUGUGCUCUCAAAGAGUCGAGUUGUUUGGGAAUGCAGCUCUAAACGGGUGGUAAACUCCAUCUAAAGCUAAAUAUUGGCGAGAGACCGAUAGCGAACAAGUACCGUGAGGGAAAGAUGAAAAGGACUUUGGAAAGAGAGUUAAACAGUAUGUGAAAUUGUUGAAAGGGAAACACUUGAAGUCAGUCGUGUCGGCUGGGGAUCAGCCUGGCUGUUUU